AUGCGGAUCCGCAGGGCCGCCUCCCGCGUGCUCGGCGUCGCCCCCUCCGCCGCCUCCCCCUCCCAGCCGCCCCGACCCAAUCUGCCCCCGCUCCCGCCAGCCGACGCCGGCGGCCCGCCGCCCUGCGUGACGAACAUGGCGGUAGCGGACCUGAUGAACCAACUCGGCAUCCAAGAUCCCGAGGAUGACAAGCACUUCAAGGAAACUUACUUUUGGGAUGGCCUUCCUAGCCUUCCCAAACACCACCCCUGGGGAUCUAGGUAUCAUUUCCCAGCCACCACCUGUGCCGACUCCAUUGAGGAAAAAGAGGAGAUGGCCGUUGACGUGCUAGAUGACAUCAUCUUGGAAUCGCGUAUCGUGGAGAAGAACUCUGAGAAAAACAAAAGCACCAUGACGAAGGGUGAGGAAGAGAAGGACAAGAGCAAGCUAGAGACAAAAGGGAAGGGGAAGGUGGAGGCAGAUGAGAGUUAUGCUGCCAGAGGAGGAUGGCCAUGCAAGCAGAAUGAAAGGCGAUUCUGCGGGCGGACCGCAAGCCAACCCAACUCGUACUGCUUGCACCACUCUCACCAGAAGCCCCGUGCCAUCUCGAAGCCACCUCGCAAGAGGAUCACUGCCCACCGUGACUUGGGACUAGGGUUCUACUACUACGAUGGGUUCGGCCCGUCAGGCAACACCAAGAGGCAACGCGGAUCAAGCAGUUUGCCAGAACCUAUUGAACAGAAAGAGGAGGUGUCGCCUGAACACCACGUCGAUUUUAGUGCAGGUCUGGUUGGAGUUGCUGACGAAGAAAAUCAAGUCGGGUCAGAGUCAGAAUACAUUGAAAAGCCUAGGUUCGACGAUUGUACUGAUGUCAUGAUCACUGGCUACGACGAUGACAACAGUGAUGAAGACUCGCCUGAUUACAAUAGCGAAAACAUUAAGGUGAGCAAGAACCCGCCAAAGAAGAGGGGAAAGAAGCCUAUGAAAGCCCGAUCACUCAAGUCAUUGAUGUGA
rnacentral:rRNA from 1 species